rnacentral:rRNA from 1 species
UACGGGGGGGGUAAGCGUUGUUCGGAAUUACUGGGCGUAAAGGGCUCGUAGGCGGCCAACUAAGUCAGACGUGAAAUCCCUCAGCUUAACUGGGGAACUGCGUCUGACACUGGAUGGCUUGGAUUCGGGAGAGGAAUGCGGAAUUCCAGGUGUAGCGGUGAAAUGACGUAGAUAUCUGGAGGAACACCGGUGGCGAAGGCGGCAUUCUGGACCGAUAUUGACGCUGAGGAGCGAAAGCCAGGGGAGCAAACGGG